UACUGGAUUGUUUUUAUGUGGAAGUUUGAUUAGUUUUUGAAAUUAUUAGUGCCGAAACUACAUUAAAAAUGAUGAGCUUUUUAUUUUUGAAGUGUGUUUAAUGCUUUGUGCUCAAAUUGCAAUAAAAACUCUUUGGUUUAAAUUCAAGCGUCUCUAAAUUCAGUGGCGUCAGCAAAGUGUGAGGUUAUAUUUUGCGUUUUUCUUUCUCAUAAACAAUUUACUAGGAGUUCUAUUUAUUUUUAAUUUUACUGAAAUAAGUGUCUAAAGGGCGAUAUUUUGCAAUAAUGGAAUUUACUCAACCACAAAUAGCGGCCUUAGUUUUGGGUUACCUCAAAAGUGAAAAAUUAUACUCAGUGAUUGACGAAUUCCUCAAAAACUGUCCCUAUUUUACCGAAAACAACCAAAAUAUCAAAAUGGGAAAAUAUUUUGUUACUCGUGUGUCUGGAAUGCGUCUUGUUGAUUUUCUUGAAGAGUAUGCUAUGAUUUACUCAAUUGUUCAAGGCCGACUUGAGGAGACCAAUUACUACGAGACACAUAGCAGAACUUCACUGGUUGAUCAAAUUAUGUUCUUGUUGGAUAAAGAAACGGGAACUGUGGCCACUUCAACCCCCGUGAUAAGUUCAAGUGUUGGUAGCGAAGUAGACACGACGCCAGCACACACUCUACCUGGGAAUAAUUCCGAAGAAAAUGAACCUGCAAUUACUAAAACACCAAAGAAGAAAUCUACAAGAAAUAAAAGCAAAGAUAAAGAGGAGAUUAUGGAUGUUUCUGAGGUUUUAACUCAAACUUUGUUAGAAAAUCACGAAUUGCAUGAGAAAAUUGCUGAAACUAUUAACAUAGUCAGGAAUACGCCUGAAACUGGCAGAAAUACCACAGAAGAACAUGUCAGUGCUGGUGCGGCGAAAGAACUGGACGCUAUUAUUAAAACAGUGGUGCAAAGGACUGAAGAAGACCCGGUGUACAAUAAACUAAUAGAUGAGAUUAUCGGAACGCCCCCUUUUGACAACCAAUCAAAAAAAUCCACUAGCUCCGCCCACCAUGCUGACAAAAGUGGGGACCCAAUGGACGCCCAUACCAAUGACGCCGUGCGUUCCAUAAUCGAGGCGGCACAAAACACAGACCCGCCUCCUCCCGAACCCCCAAAACCGCAAAAUGGGGGCGAGGUGUACCUUUUUGAUGGCACCCUCGACUCUUAUCUGAAAUCGUCAGGGGCUGCGCCCCCAAUGGCCCCAAACCCGCUUUAUUUCAACACAGGAGGGGGGCUCCUAAUAAUGCCCCCUGAAGCCGCACCUAAGCAAUAUUACAUCGUUAAUAAUCAACCAAUGAUAAACGUGAACGUGCCAACAGUAAAAAACAUAACAGAGAAUGACAUAAUGGCAAUGCCUACUAUAAUUGUUAACGAUGAAAGUUGUACCAACUUUACGAAUCAAACAAUUGUCGCAGAUAAUCCGAAAAAGUGUACGAAACUGAUCAAACCCAAAGCGACGACGAAAAUUACCGAGGCCCCGCCCACGUUCACAAGCCCCUCCUCCAAGGCCGCCUCUCACGUACGCAAUCUUGAUUUUUCAACGCCAGGGUCGAAAAUCAACGGGAAGAAAGGAGCAAAGAAGAAGGCUUGGGAUUCGGAUUUAAGGAAUUUGGUGUUAGGUUGUGUCAAUAGAACCCCCACUCCUAAGAAAAAACGAACAGUUGCGACGAAGAAAAACCCUAAACCGAAGUCACAACCUAGCAAGGUUGAAAAGGAGGAAAAGCCUGAGGAGAAGGAGGAAAAAACUGAGGAGAAGGAGGAAAAAACUAAAGAGAAGGAGGAAAAAACUGAAGAGAAGAAAGAGUCAACAACUAUGCAAACUCCGGUCAAAGACACAAUCCCGAAAACUCCGGGUCCGGUCUCUAAUACAAACUGUUGCACGCCAUUUUCGCAGGUUUUGGAGGAGCAGCUCCAGGGCGUCGAUUUAAUAUCAAUGCCUACCCCCAAAAUCCCGAUUACGCCCGGAUUUGCCUUGACUCCGGGCGAUUUAGGUCCUUAUAAUCAGCGUUCAACUGAUUAUUCAACAUCUAGUUCGUACUACCAACCUUCCGACACUGAACAAAACAAGUCCCUAGACCAGUUGAUAGAAGAGUGCAAAAGACUGGAAAAUAACAAGUCACCGCCUCCUGAGAAGCACACAAAUUUGAAAAUCUUGAGCGAUGUUGUGAUCGAGCAAGCCAAGGUUGUAACCGAACCGGAAAAACCGCAAACCACUUUGAAAAAAUUCAACCAGAGUGUGAUUGGUAAGAAAAAUUUGAAUCUUCUGAAACGUCAUCCCACGAGUUCGAGUUCGUCGGAUUCGGAUUCGGAUUCAGAUUCGCCCGAACAUACUGUCAUCGAAAAGACUGAUGUUAAAGAAACUGAAACUUCUAGUAUUAAUAACAUAAUCAAUGAGGUUCCAGUGAAGGAUACUCUAGAUGAGGAAGCGCGCAAAAAGGACAUUUUAACCCAGCUAGAAAUCGUGCGAAAACGCACAAUUGACAAAAUCAAAAACCCGCCAAAAGCGGCCAGAAAACCGCGGACUAGCCGGAAAACUGCGAAAACACCGAAAGUAGGGAGACGGAAAAGUGUGAAGAAGGAGGCAGUGGAGGAUGCGGAAGCGCAAAAGUUGAUUCAUGGGUUGGCCGAAAGAGGGAUUCACUUGGUUCAAAAUAAAUCGCCUCAAAAAGUGAACCAAGAGGAGUGUUUGGAUAGUCCUAAAUCGGACUCAUCUGGUCCAAACUUUGAUAAAAAAAUAUACCAAGAUUUGGAAUCCGUGGUUCAUUCUGAUAAGAUAAAGAGGAAAGCUUUAAACAAGUACAAUUUUGAGAUUUUGAAGAAGAGUAUGUCGGCGCAAGUUUUCGACGAAUUGGAUAAAGAAGUGACAAUGAUCAUAAAGUGGACCCCUUUUGAGUCCAUUUUUGAGCUCAAACCCCGAGCGAAAGCCUCAACGCCGAAGAAGAGACUCGACGAUGAGGAUGACGAACUUAUGGACUAUGUUUUUUUGGCCGAUGUGAGGGAUAGUUCGCCCGAAAAGGGGACCAAGGGGGGUAGGAAGAGGAAGCUGAAGAAUAGCGAGAGUGAGAAACAGACGGAAAAGAAAGCGAAAGCUUUUGAGAAUAAUUUAAAACUUUUGAAGAAAAUUGACGUUGAUUCGUUUCUUGAUAAAGUACAUGGCGAGUGACUUUUAUGUAUAGAAGUUUGAGUUAGUUUAGAAGUUUUAAGAUGAGUACGAUUUUUUAUUGUACAUUUGCAGUUCUUCCCAAAAAUGUGAUCUUCAAAUAACUUGAAUAAUUCGUAAAUGUUUGUUUAGAAACUCCGAAAUUAAAAUCGUAGUGAUUUAAAAAUUUUUUGACAAUUUGAAUUGUCAGGUAGGUACCAAUCGACAUGCUAUAAAUACAAAAUUCCCUAAAUAGCAAGAUUUUUCAAGUCGAUUUAUUAUUUUUAUUGAAAAAAUGAAGGUAAUGUGAAAAUGUGUUGCAGAUUUCAUUAUAUAAAUAUUAGAGAAAAUUCUACUUACUUUGUGUUUUGAUUUUUUAACUAGUUUAAACUGAAUAUUAUUUACAGGAAAAAUGUAACAUUUCGAAUACUCUUUUAUUGAAUAAUAAUUACGAUAGCUUA